AACAAACUGUCCUGUCUAUCUAGACUGUCUUGGCCUGGUGUUCAGAUGCCAUCUCUUCUGGGGACACUCGGUUGUAUAUGUUAACUACACACAUUAUAAGAUUGCUUUGAAUAAUAGCCUAUCCACUCUCUUUUUAGACAAGAACCCCCUGCGUCUUAUAUGACCCAACCAUGGCCAGCAGUAUUCAGUCUGCCAACCUUCCCUCCUGAACUGCAAGCUGCUCUCCAGAGGAAAGAUCCUGCCUUUAAAAGGAAGGACAAAUCACAUAUACGGGCAUUAUUGAUUCAAGUGCUGUUUGAUAAUGUCACUAAACACACUUGGUAUCCCAGUCACAAAAUGUAUGGAGAUGUCCUGGGGAGUUUGAUUACAAAAUUUCCAUUCUUAAGAGAUGGCAGUUCAUCUGGACAUGAGACAUUGUUAGAGUGCCUCC